ACGGGGGGUGCAAGCGUUAUUCGGAAUCACUGGGCGUAAAGGGCGCGCAGGCGGUUUGGUUAGUCAGAUGUGAAAGCCCGGGGCUCAACCCCGGAAGUGCAUUUGAUACUGCCAAACUUGAGUAUGGGAGAGGGAAGUGGAAUUCCUGGUGUAGAGGUGAAAUUCGUAGAUAUCAGGAGGAACACCGGUGGCGAAGGCGACUUCCUGGACCAAUACUGACGCUGAGGCGCGAAGGCGUGGGGAGCAAACAGG
rnacentral:rRNA from 1 species